ACUAGGACCAUUACCAGGCGAUGUGAGAUUUCCGUAUGAGCCACCUCUAGAAUCUCACAUCGCCUGGUAAUGGUCCUGGU
rnacentral:pre_miRNA from 1 species